CUCAACAGGCAGAGAGGAUUUGCCAGGUUGAAGAGGAGGCCAGGAAGAAGAGCCCUGCUCUUCUUGUGUUUUCAGCCAGAGUUAGGAGAUAAGGCUUCAUCUUGUCACACCUCAGGGCAACUGCUGACUCCCAAAUGGGACACUGGAGGUGCGGCCUGCUAGAGCUCAUGUUCCAGCAGAGCUGCGUGGCUGAGUCCAGAGCCUCAGGCCUCCUGAAGGAGAAGGACCCAGAGCCUCUGUCCCAGCAACCACAGGCCACCAGCUCAGGGAACAAGGAGGCCCUCUCUCCACCUGUGACCUUGGAGUACCUGCCUUUCUUCCGCACCUACGGGUGGCUGGCUGAGGAGGAGAUGGGCCUGCAGCCUGAGGUUUGCACAGGCAAGGCAGGAAGCCAGAGUCUCAGAUUCGCACCAUUCCCGGAGGACUCAGCACUGCCUGAUGGGUUCUUCCCCUACUACUGCUCACAGGAGGAGAGUUUUCCCAGCCUGGUCCUUCCCACCUGGACCUGUGGGGGCUCCCAAGACUCACCCAGCAGGAGGGAGGCACGGGCUGGCUGCUUCUACAGGACCACGAUCAGGGAUGGAUGCUCUGCUACUCUGGCAUGCCCAGACCUCAUCUCUGGGUCCUCACACUCACCGGCCUGCCAUCCUGUCCCGCUGGUCUCAGCAGGGCAGCACCAGGACAGCAUCCCGGAUGCCCCUCCCUGCGGGGGCCACAGCCUCUAUGCGGCAGGAUUCAUACCUUACUACAGAAGCCCCGAGGAGGGACUGCGCACAAGCCCUGGGCCUCCUACCUCUCCACCCAGAAGCCAGCAACCCCCAGGGCUGUCGCCCAGGCCCGGCGCAGUAACGCUGAGAAGGAGCAGGAGCUGGCUGCAGUGGGAGCCACUGCAGAACAGGUCCCCGGCACCCACCAUUUAGCGAGGGGUGAAGGUGACUGGAGGUGAGGUUCCCAGGAGUCAGUCAGUUUCCCUCAGGGUCCACAGCUGGCCUGGGACCCCAGUCCUCAGGCCUUGAUUCUCCCUGUCUCAGUGCCCGUGACCACUGACAAGGGCAACCCCCUACCCCUGCCCAGCAGAGCCAACGGGAGGAACCUGGCCUUGGCAGCCUCUCCAGCCUAUCCCAGUCUGCCGAGCUGUACCUGCUUGUGUGAGGUGCCACCUGAGCAUCUGCUGAGCUCUCCUUGAGGAACAGAGGGACAACACUCAGCCUAUGCCCCACAUUCAGUCUCCCCACCCCCAGGAAGUGACCCACCCAUCCCAGGCUGCCCCCACUUUGUUCUCCCAGCUGGAAAAACUGCCGCAUGGGAAGGGAACAGCCACACCAGAAGUGCUUCCGCAGAGUACUGUCUGUCUUGUCCAGCACUCUGACCUCAGAUCAUCCCUUCGUGGCCUGCCCCAAGCUCAGACAGAGGGAGCAGUGGCCACUGGAACAACCGAGGGGUGCAGACGCCCAGAGGUUGGUGUUGUAAAUAAAUCUUACCACUAUAAGCGUUGGAGGUGGUGCACUAAUUUGAUGCUUUGGAGUGAUAUUUGCAGUUUCCAUUUAUUAAGCAUUUGCUAUGAGACACCUUACAGAGAUCAUCCUUAGGGGAAGACACUGGUGUCACCUCCAUUCUUCAGACAACGAAACAGGCCCAGAGAGGCUAAGCAGCAUGCCUGAGCUCACACAGCAAACAGUGGAGUUGGGAUUCACACCAGCCCCAUCUGCCCCUGGGGCCUGAGGACUGAAGCCAUUUUCAUGGAGAGAAAAGAGGCAGAUGCAGCCUACCAGCUGCCGCAGACCCACCUCUCCCUCUCCCUCUCCCUCUCUCAUGGAAUCUGCAUCUUUCCUUCCCCUGCUCUUGCACUUUGCAGCCACAGGAGAGACAGUGACUCAGCAUGUGUCUGCUAGAUCCUCCUCCUCCUCCUGGGACCUUGUGGAUACGACUGGCCAACACACAUGGAUGUUGGGAGAACGUGCCCACCUCGCUCACCCCUGGGCUAUGCAGACAUUGGCUCCUGUUCGAAGCUUCUUCGGUGCCCAGUUACACCUGUGUGUUCCAUGUUCACAGCCAUUCUAUCCCGUGGCUCUGGUUCCAUGCCUCCUGCCCUGGUGUGGGGGUCUCCACUUCUGCCAACAGCUCUGACUGCUGGAUCUCUGCCUCCCACCAGGGUACUGGGUGCCGAGGAUGCCCUCACCUACUCCCCGAUCUUCCUGAGGAUGGGAGUUGAGGAGGAGGAUGGGGGAGAGAUCUAUCGAUCACACUUGAGUCACAUUGAAGAUGUUCUUUGCUACGCAUCCAGUUUUUACUAUUCCCAAAGCAGGAGAUUUGGGGCUGAGAGAACGACGGAAGAAACAAAGCCCCUCAACUCUAGAUCUCCCCAGCCCAAGCUACCUGGUCUCCUGACCUGUCUGGUCCCCACUGUGUCCAUCAGCUGAGAAGAGAAGGCAGAGGAGACCCAGGCACUCUCUGCUGUCAGAUGUCCACAGAAACAGCCCAGCCUACAGGCCCCUGCCUGGGAAGAAAGGACAGAGGCAGCCCAGGGCACUGGCAUGAGCCCGCUUGUCUGAGGCCAGUGCAGGAAUGAGGCAGCAGGAACACAGGCCCAGGGAAGGAAGACAACCAUAUGCGUGGGGGCCCGUAUCCUCCAGUCAUUUGCCCUUAGUCAUCAAAGCAGGAGGCCUGGCUGGCUGCUGCUGCUGCAUGUUAGCCUGGUGACAUGACAAGAACAGGCCCAGCAGAGGCCCCUUCCUCCGGACCAGCCACCUCACCUUUCUUGUCAACCCUGGGGAGUCUUUGCUGGGACCCACAGGGCCGGGACAUGCUGCGUGCGGAACACGCCCUCGUCCUGCCAGGCUGCUGCGCCUUUAAGGUCCGCUGGGGGCGUGCUGUCCGCGGUUGCCGGCGCGGAGGGUGAGCUGAGGCAGCCGGUGGCGGCUAGGAAGCUGGGUUUGGAGUGGGACCCACAGCGCUCUCCGCGCUCUAACACUGGGCGCGCUCGGGCUGGGCCAUGCCCUGCAGACACUGAGUGGCCUUGCUGCGGCUCUGGAGGGUGAGGUGCCUACGGCACCAGCCAUGGGCAGCUUCCAGCUGGAGGACUUCGCGGCGGGCUGGAUCGGAGGUGCAGCCAGCGUCAUCGUUGGCCAUCCUCUGGACACAGUCAAGACUCGCCUGCAGGCUGGCGUUGGCUACGGGAACACCCUCAGCUGCAUCCGCACCGUGUACCGGAGGGAGAGUGUGUUCGGCUUCUUCAAAGGCAUGUCCUUCCCCCUGGCCAGCAUUGCCGUCUACAACUCAGUGGUGUUUGGGGUCUUCAGUAACACGCAGAGGUUCCUCAGCCAGGACCGCUGUGGGGAGCCCGAGGCCAGCCCUUCCCGGACACUAUCAGACCUGCUGCUGGCCAGUAUGGUGGCCGGCGUGGUCUCUGUCGGGCUGGGGGCGCCCGUGGACCUCAUCAAGAUCCGGCUGCAGAUGCAGACACAGCCGUUUCAGGCAGCCAAGCUCGGUUUGAAGUCCAGGGUGGCGGCUCUGGGGCAGCAGCCGGUGUACCAGGGACCCGUGCACUGCAUCGCAGCCAUCGUGAGGAGCGAGGGCCUGGCGGGGCUGUACCGAGGGGCCAGCGCCAUGCUGCUGCGGGACGUCCCAGGCUACUGCCUCUACUUUAUCCCCUACGUGUUCCUGAAUGAGUGGAUCACGCCUGAGGCCUGCGCAGGCCCCAGCCCCUGCGCCGUGUGGCUGGCGGGUGGCAUGGCAGGAGCAAUUUCUUGGGGAACAGCCACUCCUAUGGAUGUCGUGAAAAGUCGGCUCCAAGCUGACGGGGUUUAUUUCAACAAAUACAGAGGUGUCCUGGACUGUAUCUCCCAGAGUUACGAGAAGGAAGGUCUUAAAGUGUUUUUCAGAGGCGUCACCGUGAACGCUGUGCGGGGCUUCCCCAUGAGCGCGGCCAUGUUCCUCGGCUAUGAGCUCUCGCUGCAGGCUCUCCGUGGGGACCACGCGGUGACCAGCCCCUGAGCGCCAGGUGGCUUCUGGAUAAAUCUCAACUCUCCUGGCAGGGAGGAGAGUAAUUACCGCACACCUCACGGCAGGUGAGUCCUCCCUGGAGCCUGCCGUCGGGGCAGGUCCUGUGGUUCUGCAACUUUUGCAGGAAAGCUGAGGGGAAGCACCGGGCCAGGCUGCCGAUUAACCCACGGCAGCGAGUCACAGCACCUCUGCCCACUUCCACUGGCAGCCGACUGCAUUUCCAGGUUGUGUUCCGAAACCAUCACAACCACCAGCCUCUGUCCCUGCUGUGAUCCUGCCGGGUAUUGAUGUGUUUGGUUAUGGGAUCUGGCUGCAGGCCCUGCUGUGGGCGUUACCUAACAUAUGGCACCUGAACUGUGUAUUGGUUUCCCAAAAGGCUAAAAAGCUUGAAUUCUGAAAUAUCUCUGACUCCCAGGUGUCUGGAUAAGAGAGUGUGGACUGGAAUUAUGGGGAACCUGUCUGACUCUCAGGCUGGAAGCACAACGUGCACACCUGAUGGAAAGGAAGUGUGCACAUUCCUGACUUAGCCUCAAUUUGGACUUUGCUCUUGCAUCUCAAAGGCCUGUCACCAUUCGGUCCACACUGAUGGAGCACCUGCCCCGGGCCAGUGCAGUGCAGGCACUUGGGAUACAGCAGGGAGCAGAGCAAAGAUCUCCGCACGAGCUGGCCUGUGAGCAGGGAGAGAUGGACAGUCAACAAUAACAGCAAAUGGAUAAAGGGGAGCGCACCUUAGACAGUGGAGACUCGUCAGAAACGUCAACGUGUUGCCCGCUGUGGUUUGGUUGCAUGGCUGUUCACAGGAGAAAAACUGUGGGAGAAAAGUGGACAAGGACAGAGCGACUCAAACGAAGGGAUGGGCAGACACAAACAACUGGUCACCUGCCAAAGAGAAAUUUCAGAGUGAGAUUCCAGAUGAGACAAUUAAAAUGAGUUUGGAAAGUUCUUAAAAGAGCAUUCACUCACGUUGGCGCUGCAGUUGCAUCUUGAAGGCGGAUCUGUCUAAAGUAGGUAGAGAGGUAAGAACACAUAAUGAGUGGUGUGUUUCUUCAUUCUCCUGUGUGUGGCUCACUUAAGUUGUCAGUAGCUGUCUUUCCCGCUGCCACCGCGGUACCCCUUGCAGCCUACCUGCAGCUUGUCGAUGAGGAACUUGACGUCCAAGGUCCCCGUCAAGGUUGAACACCUCUGGCCGUCCACGGAGCAGAGGAGCAGGGCAGAGGCGAGCACUGCAGCUAGGAGCAUCUUGCCGGGGGGACGCCUGGAGCUUGGCCUGCAGAUGCCUUCACAUCUGGUCAUAUUUAAAGCUCCCUUUCAAAUAUGGAAAAACCCUGACAUCAAACUGAUACCAAGGGCCCACUUUUUCUCUGUAAGUUGGGGCCACUUGAUAUUGAAAAACAAAAAAAUCAAACUGAGUCACUUGACAAAGACCAUAUUGUGCCAGGAAAUAUCAUUCCCCAGAAAAGACGCUCUUCAACCAGUUGGGUACUGAAAUGCUAAAGGAAAAGUUAAAGAUCUAAAAACCAUAUAUAUAUUUUUUUAAGGCAGGGAUUCCGGUGGUGAGGGUUAGAGGCUUUCCAUGAAAGCCCAGGUCUGUAUUUUCCCUUUUUACAUUAUUGGAAAUGCUGAUAUAAGAGCCAGUCAUGGGUGUUCUGAUGAAGGGGAGCCCUGGGGGAGGGAGGAGGGCGGGAGGAAGCAAGAUGAGUGAUAGCGCAGGACACCUCUUCUGCCUGCUGGGGUUUUUCUUCAGUAAUUGCAACCUCGGUCUUACUAUGCUUUACUCCCAAAUCAUAAUGUCCGUCAUGCCUAGGACCCCAUUCUCCGUCGCAUGCAAAUGCACCUGAGAAGCAUUCCUUUGUGCAGGUGCCUGGAAGAGCAAAUCUUCAACCAGAACCACAAGAAUGCAGCAACACACUUGUUACAAUUGGCCUUGAGGAUUCCUUGGUAUCUUAAGAGGCUUUAUAUAGCACCGUAAUAUCAGGUAAAAACCUGGUACUUGAGAUAGGAUAAUAGCAAAAUUUAUUGAACACUUACUAUGUACGUCUAAGCACUUGAUAUCGAUUAAGCCUUGCUAUACACUCAGCCACCAAUUGAGGUAGGUACUAACCUGUCAUCCGCAUAUUUUACCUUUUAAAGCACUGUUGUCUACAUCUUAGCUUCUUCGCCCUUUACAGUGGAUGCCUUCAUCACCGAGAGCCAGAAAGCAGCCUCGCUGUAGCCCCCUGAGGCAUAAGUCCAUCGCUACCUGAGAUCUGCCUCUGUAUUUCUCAGGGACUGUGAGACGCCCCCACGCUGUGGCCAAUCCACUGGUGUCCAUCUAAUUAAGAAAGGAUGAGAACUUCUGUUCUGGAUCACUAAUACAUUGGGGCCUGAAGGUGUUAGAAUGUAUUAAAUCUCACUGUGAACAAGGUAACAUACUAAGCAUUUUUAUAUACAUUGUCUCCCUUAGCCCCUUCAACAAUCUCUAUUAACCCUGUUUUAUAGGGUUCAAAGAGACUGAGUUGCCCUAGAUACACAGCUGGCAGUUUGAACGGGAUUCACCUGGUGCCAGCGCCUGUGCUCUUGUCUGCCACGCCGAGGUCUUGUCAGGCUCCAACGUGCAACUGAACACAGGCUCAGCUGGACGCUCAGACUCACGAGACUAUCACAGGUCGUGCUCAGCACCUCCCUUGGCUGACGGGAAGCCUCCGGUGCUCCUCUUCAGUGGGAAUGGUCUUCGCCAUUCCAGGUGACAGCUCAGGUGUGAAGACGCAAGACACCCACUGGGAGGGCCUGGGCAGGUCCCAGCCUAAAGGCCUCACGCCCCACGGGAGUCAGUAUCUCUGGAAAGAGCUCCACAGGCAUAGCUUCUAAGGCCAUGGUACUCAGGGAAUCCCAAGGCUGUAACGUCCCCACCAGAAUGUACAGCUCAUCUGUAGUCCUCCCAGACACCAGACACGCUUUGCCAGCCAGGCCUCGCUGAUACUCAUCUUCAUCCGCUGUGCAGGAGAACAGAGCUAA